AUUGAACGCUGGCGGCAGGCCUAACACAUGCAAGUCGAGCGGAUGAAGGGGGCUUGCUCCUGGAUUCAGCGGCGGACGGGUGAGUAAUGCCUAGGAAUCUGCCUGCUAGUGGGGGAUAACGUCCGGAAACGGGCGCUAAUACCGCAUACGUCCUGAGGGAGAAAGUGGGGGAUCUUCGGACCUCACGCUAUCAGAUGAGCCUAGGUCGGAUUAGCUAGUUGGUGGGGUAAAGGCCUACCAAGCCGACGAUCCGUAACUGGUCUGUGAGGAUGAUCAGUGACACUGGAACUGAGACACGGUCCAGAGUCCUACGAGAGGGAGCAGUGGGGAAUGUUGGACAAUGGGCGAAAGCCUGAUCCAGCCAUGCCGCGUGUGUGAAGAAGGUCUUCGGAUUGUGAAGCACUUUAAGUUGGGAGAAACGGCAGUAAGUUAAUACGUUGCUGUUUUGACGUUAGCAACAGAAUAAGCACCGGCUAACUACGUG
rnacentral:rRNA from 1 species